GUGUCAGCCGCCGCGGUAAGACGAACCGAGCGAACGUUGUUCGGAAUCACUGGGCUUAAAGGGCGCGUAGGCGGGCUGUCAAGUCUGGGGUGAAAUCCCGCGGCUCAACCGUGGAACUGCCUCAGAUACUGACGGCCUCGAGGGAGAUAGGGGCGAGCGGAACUAAUGGUGGAGCGGUGAAAUGCGUUGAUAUCAUUAGGAACUCCGGUGGCGAAGGCGGCUCGCUGGAUCUUUUCUGACGCUGAGGCGCGAAAGCUAGGGGAGCAAACGGGAUUAGAAACCCCCGUAGUCC
rnacentral:rRNA from 1 species